GACGAACGCUGGCGGCGUGCUUAACACAUGCAAGUCGAACGGAAAGGCCCUGCGUUUGUGGGUUUCUCGAUUGGCGAACGGGGGUGUAACACGCGAGUAACCUGCCCUUGUCUUUCUGAUAACUUUAGGAAACUCGGGAUAAUAUCGCAUAGGAUCUCCUGCUCCGUGGUGGUGGUUGGAAAGUUUCGGCGGUUUGGGCUGGACUCGCGGCUUAUCAGCUUGUUUGGGGGGUAGUGGCUUACCAAGGGUUUGACGGGUAGCCCGCCUGAGAGGGUGACCGGCGACAAUGGGACUGAGGUACGGCCCAGAAUGCUACGGGCGGCAGCAGUCGGGAACAUUGCGCAAUGGGCGGGCGUGUGAUGCAGAAACGCCGCGAGCGGGAUGACGGCCUUCGAGUUGUAAACCGCUUUCGCAUGUGACGAAGCGUGCGUGACGGUAAUGGGUAAAAAAGCACCGGCUAACUACGUG
rnacentral:rRNA from 1 species